rnacentral:rRNA from 1 species
GACGAACGCUGGCGGCGUGCUUAACACAUGCAAGUCGAACGGAAAGGCCCUGCUUUUGUGGGGUGCUCGAGUGGCGAACGGGUGAGUAACACGUGAGUAACCUGCCCUUGACUUUGGGAUAACUUCAGGAAACUGGGGCUAAUACCGGAUAGGAGCUCCUGCUGCAUGGUGGGGGUUGGAAAGUUUCGGCGGUUGGGGAUGGACUCGCGGCUUAUCAGCUUGUUGGUGGGGUAGUGGCUUACCAAGGCUUUGACGGGUAGCCGGCCUGAGAGGGUGACCGGCACAAUUGGGACUGGAAUCCGGCCCAAACCCCUACGGGGGGCAGCGGUGGGGAAUUUGGCACAAGGGGGGGAAGCCGGAUGCAGCAACGCCGGGGGGGGGAUGACGGCCUUCGGGUUGAAAACCGCUUUCGCCUGUGACGAAGGGUGGGUGACGGUAAUGGGUAAAGAAGCACCGGCUAACUACGU